UGGUAAUCCUCUAUAAACCCUAAUCACUUCUCCAACGUCCCCUAUUGUUGUGGUUACCAUAGCGAUGAUAUGACUGCACGUCCCGUGCCACUUGACUUCACUUAGUGUCUGUCUGUGUGUAUGUGUGAUUGUGGUUGGUUGCACCACUAUGUGUGUGUUUGCUUGCUUGUGCUAUGUGUGAUGAUAUGUUAACUGUCUGUGUGUGUCAAUGUGUGUAGGUACCUACCUAUACAUGUGUCUGUCUUUUUGUGUGUGUGUGUAUAUGUAUGUGUAUACCAAUAUAUGUGCCCGUCCGUGUGUGUAUGCGUACACCUACUGUAUAUAUGUGUCCGUCUGUGUGUGUGGGUGUGUGUGUGUGUGUGUGUGUGUGUGUGUGUGUGUGUGUGUGUGUGUGUGUGUGUGUGUGUGUGUGUGUGUGUGUGUGUGUGUGUGUGUGUGUGUGUGUGUGUGUGUAUGUGUGUAUACCUACUGUAUAUAUGUGUCCGUGUGUGUGUGUGUGUGUGUGUGUGUGUGUGUGUGUGUGUGUAUGUGUAUACCUACUGUAUAUAUGUGUCCGUCUGUGUGGGUGUGUUUGUAUACCUACUGUAUAUGUGUGUGUGUGUGUUCGGUGUGUGUGUGUGUGUGUGUGUGUGUGUGUGUGUGUAUACCUACUGUAUAUAUGUGUGUUUGUGUGUGUGUGUGUGUGUGUGUGUGUGUGUGUGUGUGUGUGUGUGUGUGUGUGUGUGUGUGUGUGUGUGUGUGUGUGUGUGUGUGUGUGUGUUCAUACCUACUGUAUAUAUGUGUCCGUCUGUGUGUGUGUGUAUGUAUAUACCUACUGUAUGUGUCCGUCUGUGUGUGUGUGUGUGUGUGUAGGUUCCCAGAUGAGUUCAGCCUGCUUGUGCAGCUCCGCAGCAGCCUGACAGAGGAGAGCAGCCUGCUCACCUUGCUCAGCCGGGACGGCGAGGUCAUGCUACAGCUGAGGACCAGCGGCCACGCCCUCACCUUCAUAGGCACCCAGCAGAGGCACUACGAGUUCCCAGUGAGCGGUCUGACUGACGGAGAGUGGCACCGCCUGGCGGUGAGUGUGUCUCUGGAGCGGCUCGCGGUGUACGUGGACUGUGUGCUGUUUGAGUCCCUGGACUGGGUCUACUACGGCAUGGCCGUCUCCACCGCCGGCCUGCUGAUGGUCGGGGGGACCGUCAGGGGACACGAGACCCCUUUUGAAGUGAGUUGGGGUCUUAAGGACGUCCUACACAUGUAUCCGGUAGUUUCUGGAAAUGUCCGAUAUUGAACCUUUAAAGGAUCAUGUGUGCCUUCUGUAGUUGACCGUGGAUAGUUAGUCCUGACAUUAAAAGGAUUGCAAUAGACCACAAAACUGGACACACCCUCCUUGGGUAAGUGUGUGUUUGUGUUUGUGUGUGUGUCUGGUUUCUGUUUGCCUGUGUAUGUGUGUAUAGGCAAGUCUUGUUAUUAAGUGUCUUCAAUCAUUUCAUUUACACCAGUAACAU
rnacentral:lncRNA from 1 species